rnacentral:rRNA from 1 species
UUAAGUUUGAUCAUGGCUCAGACCUGGGGGCGUUACGGUAGGCCUAACACAUGCAAGUCGAACGGCAGCACAGAGGAGCUUGCUCCUUGGGUGGCGAGUGGCGGACGGGUGAGGAAUACAUCGGAAUCUACUCUGUCGUGGGGGAUAACGUAGGGAAACUUACGCUAAUACCGCAUACGACCUACGGGUGAAAGCAGGGGAUCUUCGGACCUUGCGCGAUUGAAUGAGCCGAUGUCGGAUUAGCUAGUUGGCGGGGUAAAGGCCCACCAAGGCGACGAUCCGUAGCUGGUCUGAGAGGAUGAUCAGCCACACUGGAACUGAGACACGGUCCAGACUCCAACGGGAGGCAGCAGUGGGGAAUAUUGGACAAUGGGCGCAAGCCUGAUCCAGCCAUACCGCGUGGGUAGAAGAAGGCCUUCGGGUUGUGAAGCCCUUUUGUUGGGAAAGAAAUCCAGCCGGCUAAUACCUGGUUGGGAUGACGGUACCCAAAGAAUAAGCACCGGCUAACUUCGUGCCAGCAGCCGCGGUAAUACGAAGGGUGCAAGCGUUACUCGGAAUUACUGGGCGUAAAGCGUGCGUAAGUGGUUA